AUUGAACGCUGGCGGCAGGCCUAACACAUGCAAGUCGAGCGAGCGGCGGACGGGUGAGUAAUGUAUGGGGAUCUGCCCGAUAGAGGGGGAUAACUACUGGAAACGGUAGCUAAUACCGCAUACCAUCAGAUGUGCCCAGAUGGGAUUAGCUAGUGGGUGGGGUAAUGGCUCACCUAGGCGACGAUCCCUAGCUGGUCUGAGAGGAUGACCAGCAAAACGGGAACUGAGACACGGUCCAGACUCCUACGGGAGGCAGCAGUGGGGAAUAUUGCACAAUGGGCGCAAGCCUGAUGCAGCCAUGCCGCGUGUGUGAAGAAGGCCUUCGGGUUGUAAAGUACUUUCAGCGGGGAGGCGUUACUCGCAGAAGAAGCACCGGCUAACUCCGUGCCAGCAGCCGCGGUAAUAC
rnacentral:rRNA from 1 species